rnacentral:misc_RNA from 1 species
AACCAUUCUCACCUGCGGCUAGACCUGCGGAAGGAUCAUUACCGAGUUUACAACUCCCAAACCCCUGUGAACAUACCACUUGUUGCCUCGGCGGAUCAGCCCGCUCCCGGUAAAACGGGACGGCCCGCCAGAGGACCCCUAAACUCUGUUUCUAUAUGUAACUUCUGAGUAAAACCAUAAAUAAAUCAAAACUUUUAGCAAUGGAUCU